rnacentral:rRNA from 1 species
UACGUAGGUGGCAAGCGUUGUUCGGAAUUAUUGGGCGUAAAGAGCGUGUAGGCGGCUAGAUAGGUCCGUUGUGAAAACUCGAGGCUCAACCUCGAGACGUCGAUGGAAACCAUCUGGCUAGAGUCCGGAAGAGGAGAGUGGAAUUCCUGGUGUAGCGGUGAAAUGCGCAGAUAUCAGGAAGAACACCCGUGGCGAAGGCGGCUCUCUGGGACGGUACUGACGCUGAGACGCGAAAGCGUGGGGAGCGAACAGG